rnacentral:rRNA from 1 species
AAUUUGAAAUCUGGCGUCUUCUGGCGUCCGAGUUGUAAUUUGGAGGAGCGUCUUCGGGAGCCGGCACCGUCCUAAGUUCUUUGGAACAGGACGUCACAGAGGGUGAGAAUCCCGUGCUUGGACGGUUGUCUGUUCCCAUGCGAAGUGCUUCCGACGAGUCGAGUUGUUUGGGAAUGCAGCUCAAAAUGGGUGGUAAAUUUCAUCUAAAGCUAAAUAUUGGCGAGAGACCGAUAGCGCACAAGUAGAGUGAUCGAAAGAUGAAAAGCACUUUGAAAAGAGAGUUAAAAAGUACGUGAAAUUGUUGAAAGGGAAGCGCUUGAGACCAAACUCAGUCUUUGGUGAUCAACUGAGGCUUCUGUCCAGUGCACUUUGCCAUUGACUGGGCCAGCAUCGGUUCUGACGGCGGGAAAAACGGCCAGGGAAUGUGGCUCCUUUCGGGGAGUGUUAUAGACUUGGCCUUCAAUACUGCCAGUUGGGACCGAGGACCGCGCUUCGGCUAGGAUGCUGGCGUAAUGGUCUUAAGCGACCCGUCUUG